UACGUAGGGGGGCUAGCGUUGUCCGGAAUCAUUGGGCGUAAAGAGCGUGUAGGCGGCCCGGUAAGUCCGCUGUAAAAAGUCAAAAGGCUCAACCUUUGAAAUGUCAGUGGAUACUGCCGGGCUAGAGUCCGGAAGAGGCGAGUGGAACUCCUGGUGUAGCGGUGGAAUGCGCAGAUAUCAGGAAAGAACACCAACGGCGAAAGGGCAG
rnacentral:rRNA from 1 species